rnacentral:rRNA from 1 species
AUUGAACGCUGGCGGCAGGCCUAAUACAUGCAAGUCGAGCGAGCGGCGGACGGGGGAGUAAUGUCUGGGAACCUGGCGGAUGGAGAGGGAUCACAGCGGGAAACGAUAGGUAAUACCGAGUACAAUGAGCUGUGCGCAGUGGGGAUUAGCUAGUAGGUGGGGUAACGGCUCACCUGGGCAACGAUCCCUAGCCGGUCUGAGAGGUUGAACAGCCACACUGGAACUGAGACACGGUCCAGACUCCUACGGGAGGCAGCAUUGGGAAAUAUUGCACAAUGGACGCAAGCCUGACGCAGCAAUGCCGCGUGUGUGAAGAAGGCCUUCGGGUUGUAAAGCACUUUCAGCAGGGAGGCGUUACCCACAGAGGAAGCACCGGCUAACUACGUGCCAGCAGCCGCGGUAAUUC